rnacentral:rRNA from 1 species
AGCGAACGCUGGCGGCAGGCCCAACACAUGCAAGUCGAACGAACUCUUCGGAGUUAGUGGCGGACGGGUGAGUAACACGUGGGAACGUGCCUUUUGGUUCGGAAUAACUCAGGGAAACUUGUGCUAAUACCGAAUGUGCCCUUCGGGGGAAAGAUUUAUCGCCAUUAGAGCGGCCCGCGUCUGAUUAGCUAGUUGGUGAGGUAACGGCUCACCAAGGCGACGAUCAGUAGCUGGUCUGAGAGGAUGACCAGCCACACUGGGACUGAGACACGGCCCAGACUCCUACGGGAGGCGGCAGUGGGGAAUCUUGCGCAAUGGGCGAAAGCCUGACGCAGCCAUGCCGCGUGAAUGAUGAAGGUCUUAGGAUUGUAAAAUUCUUUCACCGGGGACGAUAAUGACGGUACCCGGAGAAGAAGCCCCGGCUAACUUCGUG